rnacentral:rRNA from 1 species
UGGGGAAUCUUCGGCAAUGGGCGAAAGCCUGACCGAGCCAUGCCGCGUGAGUGACGAAGGCCUUAGGGUCGUAAAGCUCUUUCGCCAGGGAUGAUAAUGACAGUACCUGGUAAAGAAACCCCGGCUAGCUCCGUGCCAGCAGCCGCGGUAAUACGGAGGGGGUUAGCGUUGUUCGGAAUUACUGGGCGUAAAGCGCGCGUAGGCGGACCAAAAAGUUGGGGGUGAAAUCCCAGGGCUCAACCCUGGAACUGCCUCCAAAACUGCUGGUCUAGAGUUCGAGAGAGGUGAGUGGAAUUCAGAGUGUAGAGGUGAAAUUCGUAGAUAUUCGGAGGAACACCAGUGGCGAAGGCGGCUCACUGGCUCGAUACUGACGCUGAGGUGCGAAAGUGUGGGGAGCAAACAGGAUUAGAUACCCGCGUAGUCC